CGUAAAUAAUUUUUGUAAUGUAAAAGCCAAAUAAAUCCAUAUAUAUAGUAACACAAAUAACCAAAGUAUGUAAUUUAAUUUACAAUGAUGUGUGGGCCCCCGAAUGACCAAAGGUAACAAAGGUUGUGGACCUACAAUUUCUGAGGAGGUGAGUCCAAUAACAACCCUUGACGUAAUCAGCUAUUUACGGACUGUCGUGAUCCUGGAAUGAGUGGAAAAGAGGGUGGUGAGUUUAUAUAAACUCAGUGAGUAAACAAACAUCAUCUAAAAUAUCUAAAGUCGAGUAAAUGGAGACAACUUAAAAUAGUUCAUCGUACUAUGAUUCAUAACGUUUCAAACUCUUUCAACUAAAUAAAAUAGUUUCAUUUCACUCAAAUAAUCAACAUGGCUUAUGAAUUUCUUAAAAAUUUGGCUCGUGCCAAAAAUUAUUCUCGGGGAUACCUUGGCCGGGGCAUCCAACCGAGUCCGCCAAGGCUGUUAAAGAAAAGUUCAUAUACGCAUAAAACACAUUUUUACGUUUAAAAGCAUAGCCGUUCCUUGGCGUUGGUCGAGUUCACCCUCACGUGGUGGUUUAGCGUGUAGUGAACUCUAAAGCUUUACCUUAGGAGAUACCCUCUGUGUCUCUCAUACCGAGGUAAAAUAUAACCGGGUUUACCGUGCCUCUCUUUGAUAGGCUGGUCCACGGAAACCCACCACUACAGUGACUAAUCAAUAUCCCACCAAAUCAAUAAAAGUUUCGACAGCAUGACAUGGCAAUUAUAUUACCACCCAACCUGUUAAGGCAAAACAAACAGUUCAUGCAAUUUCAACACAAUUUCCAAUUCAGCCAUUCAUGCCAAUAUCACCAUAAGCCAUUCAAUUCAAACCAUAAAUUUACAACACAAUCAAACAGUCUCCAAUUACUCAAUUUCUAAAAUCAUCAUUCAAAUUCAAAAUGUUUUAUAAAACUCAUUUCAUUUAAUCACAUUUUACUUAUAAAACAUAAGGAUUUACCAUUUAAACUCAUUUUUCUAUAAAAUCACAAAAACGAAUAAAAACUACUUUAGAUAAUUAAGACGAUAAUAAGGUUACUCACAAUAUCGGGAGUCGAAGUACUCCUAGUCCCGGUCUUCGGGUACAAUCUCCUUACCCUUAUCGAAAGUUUCACCACCUAAACAUAAUGCACAACAAGCAAUUUACUAUAUUUGUACUAAACCGUUAUAAAACUAAUUUAGGCUCUAUAUGAAUGCAUGAAAUGGGAUGCGAAAUGUUCGGAUUAUUAUCUAAAUAUGGUGUUCUACGUAGCUUCAAUUAUGUAUCGAAAUAAAAUGGUAUUGGCCUAAUUCGAUCUAUACACCGGUUAAUUGGCCAAUACAUCCAAUUCAACUUCAAUUAACUUGAUUCCACUUCCAACACUCCAAGUCAUCAAUUACAAGUUAAAUAAUAUGUAAUAUCACAAAAAUCCAUCAUCAAUAUCUUCCUUGUAAAAUUCGGCCAUUGAAGGUUUAGUGUAGAACAUGUAAUUUUCAUGCUUGAUUUUUACGCCUUACAUCAUAAAACAACUAAAAACACCUAAAUAGCAUGAAAUUCAUCAAAGUCCAUUAUCCAAUUUCUCUCUUGAAAAUUUCAGCCAAGGAGUGUGGGUGAAGGGCAUGAAAUUUCUUGCUUGUUUUUCAUGCUAAACAUCACCAAACAACUAAAAACACUAAGAUACCUUGAAAUCUAACCAAAUAAAUCAUCAAAUCUUCUCUCCCUAAAUUCGGUCAGCCAUGAAUCCUUCAUGAGAUCUUGAAUUUUAACCAUGGUAAUUGAAAAAGAAUGCAUAGGAAAGGUAGAUCACAAGCUAGAAUUAAGAAAUUUUACCUUUACUUGCUUAAUUCCUUGAAAUCCAAUGAAUUUUCUCUUGAUUUUCUUCUCUAGGGUUUGUUCUAUGCUUUUUCCCUUUUGUUCUUGCCUUGGCCGGCC
rnacentral:lncRNA from 1 species